GAUGUUCUAGAUCUGUCAGCACCAUAGGCAGAGCACAGCUGCACAGCUGAGCCUGUAGCAUCAGGACAAAGAGCAAUGGCUAUUUCUGCACUCAUUAUUCAGAAAUGAGUGAGCACUAGAGUGGUUUAGAACCUGACAUUU